rnacentral:rRNA from 1 species
UACGUAGGGACCAAGCGUUGUUCGGAUUUACUGGGCGUAAAGGGCGCGUAGGCGGCGCGGUAAGUCACUUGUGAAAUCUCUGAGCUUAACUCAGAACGGCCAAGUGAUACUGCAGUGCUAGAGUGUGGAAGGGGCAAUCGGAAUUCUCGGUGUAGAGGUGAAAUUCGUAGAUAUCGAGAGGAACACCGGUGGCGAAGGCGGCGAUCUGGACGAUGACUGACGUGAGACGCGAAAGCGUGGGGAGCAAACAGG